rnacentral:rRNA from 1 species
ACGUAAUAGAUACCCAGGUAGUCCGCGCCCUAAACGAUGUCUACUAGUUGUUGGUGGAGUAAAAUCCAUGAGUAAACGCAGCUAAACGCGUGAAGUAGACCGCCUGGGGAGUACGGUCGCAAGAUUAAGACUCAAAGGAAUUGACGGGGGCCCGCACAAGCGGUGGAUUAUGUGGAUUAAUUCGAUGCAACGCGAAAAACCUUACCUGGCCUUGACAUGCCACUAACGAAGCAGAGAUGCAUUAGGUGCCCGUAAGGGAAAGUGGACACAGGUGCUGCAUGGCUGUCGUCAGCUCGUGUCGUGAGAUGUUGGGUUAAGUCCCGCAACGAGCGCAACCCUCGCCAUUAAUUGCCAUCAUUUAGUUGGGCACUUUAAUGGGACUGCCGGUGACAAACCGGAGGAAGGUGGGGAUGACGUCAAGUCCUCAUGGCCCUUAUGGCCAGGGCUUCACACGUAAUACAAUGGUCGGUACAGAGAGUUGCCAACCCGCGAGGGGAGCUAAUCUCAGAAAGCCGAUCGUAGUCCGGAUUGUUCUCU